rnacentral:rRNA from 1 species
GAUGAACGCUGGCGGCGUGCUUAACACAUGCAAGUCGAACGAUGAAGCCCAGCUUGCUGGGUGGUUUAGUGGCGAACGGGUGAGUAACUCGUGAGUAACCUGCCCUUAACUCUGGGAUAAGCCUGGGAAACUGGGUCUAAUACCGGAUAGGAGCGUCCACCGCACGGAGGGUUUUGGAAAGAUUUAUCGUUUUUGGAUGGACUCGCGGGGUAUCAGCUUGUUGGUAAGGAAAUGGCUCACCAAGGCAACGAUGCGGAGCCGACCUGAGAGGGUGAGCGGCCACACUGGAACUGGGCCACGGGCCAGACUCCUACGGGAGGCAGCAGUAGGGAAUCUUCCGCAAUGGGCGGAAGCCGGACGGAGCAACGCCACGUGAGUGAUGAAGGUCUUCGGAUCGUAAAACUCUGUUAUGAGGGAAGAACAUAUGUGUAAGUAACUGUGCACAUCUUGACGGUACCUAAUCAGAAAGCCACGGCUAACUACGUG